rnacentral:rRNA from 1 species
UGAUCCUGGCUCAGGAUGAACGCUGGCGGCGUGCCUAACACAUGCAAGUCGAACGGAACUUCUUUGACAGAAUUCUUCGGAAGGAAGUUAAUUAAGUUUAGUGGCGGACGGGUGAGUAACGCGUGAGUAACCUGCCUUUCAGAGGGGGAUAACGUUCUGAAAAGAACGCUAAUACCGCAUAACAUCAAUUUAUCGCAUGAUAGGUUGAUCAAAGGAGCAAUCCGCUGGAAGAUGGACUCGCGUCCGAUUAGCCAGUUGGCGGGGUAACGGCCCACCAAAGCGACGAUCGGUAGCCGGACUGAGAGGUUGAACGGCCACAUUGGGACUGAGACACGGCCCAGACUCCUACGGGAGGCAGCAGUGGGGAAUAUUGCGCAAUGGGGGCAACCCUGACGCAGCAACGCCGCGUGAUUGAAGAAGGCCUUCGGGUUGUAAAGAUCUUUAAUCAGGGACGAAACAAAUGACGGUACCUGAAGAAUAAGCUCCGGCUAACUACGUGCCAGCAGCCGCGGUAAUACGUAGGGAGCAAGCGUUAUCCGGAUUUACUGGGUGUAAAGGGUGCGUAGGCGGCUUGGUAAGUCAGAUGUGAAAUGUAUGGGCUCAACCCAUGCACUGCAUUUGAAACUAUUGAGCUUGAGUGAAGUAGAGGUAGGCGGAAUUCCCUGUGUAGCGGUGAAAUGCGUAGAGAUAGGGAGGAACACCAGUGGCGAAGGCGGCCUACUGGGCUUUAACUGACGCUGAGGCACGAAAGCGUGGGUAGCAAACAGGAUUAGAUACCCUGGUAGUCCACGCUGUAAACGAUGGGUGCUGGGUGCUGGGAUGUAUGUCUCGGUGCCGU